rnacentral:rRNA from 1 species
GACGAACGCUGGCGGCGUGCUUAACACAUGCAAGCCGAACGAAGGGCGAUGGAAGCUUGCUUCUAUCAAUCUUAGUGGCGAACGGGUGAGUAACGCGUAAUCAACCUGCCCUUCAGAGGGGGACAACAGUUGGAAACGACUGCUAAUACCGCAUACGAUCUAAUCUCGGCAUCGAGGAUAGAUGAAAGGUGGCCUCUACAUGUAAGCUAUCACUGAAGGAGGGGAUUGCGUCUGAUUAGCUAGUUGGAGGGGUAACGGCCCACCAAGGCGAUGAUCAGUAGCCGGUCUGAGAGGAUGAACGGCCACAUUGGGACUGAGACACGGCCCAGACUCCUACGGGAGGCGGCAGUGGGGAAUCUUCCGCAAUGGACGAAAGUCUGACGGAGCAACGCCGCGUGAGCGAUGACGGCCUUCGGGUUGUAAAGCUCUGUUAAUCGGGACGAAAGGCCUUCUUGCGAAUAGUGAGAAGGAUUGACGGUACCGGAAUAGAAAGCCACGGCUAACUACGUG